GAUGAACGCUGGCGGCGUGCCUAAUACAUGCAAGUCGAGCGAACGGACGAGAAGCUUGCUUCUCUGAUGUUAGCGGCGGACGGGUGAGUAACACGUGGAUAACCUACCUAUAAGACUGGGAUAACUUCGGGAAACCGGAACUAAUACCGGAUGAUAUUUUGAACCGCAUGGUUCAAAAGUGAAAGACGGUCUUGCUGUCACUUAUAGAUGGAUCCGCGCUGCAUUAGCUAGUUGGUAAGGUAACGGCUUACCAAGGCAACGAUGCAUAGCCGACCUGAGAGGGUGAUCGGCCACACUGGAACUGAGAAACGGUCCAGACUCCUACGGGAGGCAGCAGUAGGGAAUCUUCCGCAAUGGGCGAAAGCCUGACGGAGCAACGCCGCGUGAGUGAUGAAGGUCUUCGGAUCGUAAAACUCUGUUAUUAGGGAAGAACAUAUGUGUAAGUAACUGUGCACAUCUUGACGGUACCUAAUCAGAAAGCCACGGCUAACUACGUG
rnacentral:rRNA from 1 species